rnacentral:rRNA from 1 species
GACGAACGCUGGCGGCGUGCUUAACACAUGCAAGUCGAACGGAAAGGCCCUGCUUUUGUGGGGUGCUCGAGUGGCGAACGGGUGAGUAACACGUGAGUAACCUGCCCUUGACUUUGGGAUAACUUCAGGAAACUGGGGCUAAUACCGGAUAGGAGCUCCUGCUGCAUGGUGGGGGUUGGAAAGUUUCGGCGGUUGGGGAUGGACUCGCGGCUUAUCAGCUUGUUGGUGGGGUAGUGGCUUACCAAGGCUUUGACGGGUAGCCGGCCUGAGAGGGUGACCGGCCACAUUGGGACUGAGAUACGGCCCAGACUCCUACGGGAGGCAGAAGUGGGGAAUAUUGCACAAUGGGCGGAAGCCUGAUGCAGCAACGCCGCGUGCGGGAUGACGGCCUUCGGGUUGUAAACCGCUUUCGCCUGUGCCGAAGCGUGAGUGACGGUAAUGGGUAAAGAAGCACCGGCUAACUACGUG